CACAACAGUACACUGCUGGCUCGUGGUCAAUGUUUUAUCACUCAGGACACCUAGGUCCUUCUCUGAAGAGCACAGGAAAAGGAAGACAAAAAGAAGAAAAGGAGAAAGAAAAACAAAAGGAAGAAAAAAGCAAGGACAAGGAGAAUGCUGAGGUGCUCCAACAUUUUUUGCACUAGUCUUCACUGGCAACCUCUCUUCAAACAGCAUUCGAGUGGAGGAAUUGUAAGAGCCUUCAGGAGGAUCUACUCUUUGAUCUUGCCAGGAACAGAGGCGAGACUGUGUGGCCUGUAGUUCUCUGGAUCUUCUUUUUUUCCCUUCUUGAAAAUGAAAUUUCUUUCUUGAAAUUUCCCCUUUUCCAAUCAGUAGGAACUUCAUGAGACUACUAUGACCUUUCAAUUACA
ensembl:lncRNA